UUCAUUAACUUUCAUUAGAACCAAAAUUUUUAUUUCACUACAAUUUAACGAUAGCAUGACAAAAUCUUUAAGUAAGCGUGUGCUUAGGGCUGUGACAGCAAUCUAUACAGCAUUUCUGCAAAUUAUCCUUCUUGCUCUGUGGUACUUUUUCCAAGCAACCGGAAUUCAAGACGAAAUACAUAGUCCUCAAAUAUAUUCUGUAAACGUACGGAAGAACGAUUCUGCAAUAUGUGAUGAUGAACUCAAGGACGUCCAGACAUUGUCCUGUUCAACAUC
rnacentral:sRNA from 1 species